CAGGCAACGUUUAGCCAGAGCUUCUCUUCGAGCCCGGAGCUCAGCCACAGCACGUUGCAGCCGGCUGCGGCCAUAUUGCUCUAUCCGCGCCCACAGACUACGGUUGAACCCCGAGCCUCUGCUCACCUGCAGCCUGGGCAUUGUGCAUGAAGCCCACCACGUCAUCCAAACCCCAGCACAGGGCAUCUGCCAACAGAACCAAUGACUCGUCAAAGUACUCAGCCACCAUGACCAAGUCAAAGACAGAAUCCAGCCAGGCCAGACCCCACUGGAUAAAAGAUGAGGGCCGGAAAUCUGAAGAGGCAAAGCCAGCUGGAUGUUGGUGACUAUUAGCAGCUGUGGUCACAGGCUGGAAGAGAGUUCCAGGGCCAGCGGCAGAAGGUAUAAUACGCAGCUGGAGGGGGCUGGGGUCCCUGGGUAGAUGAGGACUCACUCUCGUCUCUGGGGGGAAGGGCAACCCAAAGUCGAACCAUAGUAAGUUGCGGGCAUAGUGGUUGCCACGGCCCCCGGGUCUGUAGAAGGCUCGAGGAUUGGACAGGAAGGCAGCCAAAGAAGGUGCCUUUCGGAAGGCUGAUGAGGUUGACUUAUAGUAGGAGAAGGCAGAGCGUGCUAAAGCCGCUGGAUCUCGGACAAUGGAAAAGAAGAAGCUGUCAGAAGGCAUGACCUGAAGUACCUGCAGAGAAAAGAAAGAGCAGACACAGAGAAAGCUUGACUGAGUAGAAAAUAAGUACAAGCUAAGGCUCUAGUGAGCCCUGGGAACUCUGCUCCCCCCCACCCCCAGCUUCCCUAACUAGCUGGGUGUGCUUGGGGGAAGUUAUGUAACACCUCUAAGACUCAAUUUGCUUCUCUGCAAAAAGGAUGUAGUCAGGGGUUCCCAGGUGAUGAGACGAAUGCACAAGAUAACAGCUAGUCAGAAAUCCGGAACCCACAAAGCUCUAAAUCAUUCAUUUCCUUGGGCCUUUGUAUCUUCUUUAGUUGAUAAAAACUCUCAAACCUAGGGCUGGGGAAAUGGCUCAGUCAAUAAAGUGUUUGCUACACAAGCAUGAGGACACAAGUCCAUACUCCCAGUACCCACAUAAAAGCCUGGCACAGCGGUGCUCACCCAUAAGCCCUGUGCCAAGGAGACAGAGACAGGGCCAUAAGCCCUGGGAGUUGGCUAGCACACACCUAAGAACCAGACUUGGUGUUUACUUCUACAAUAAAAAUCCAUUUGUAUUCAGUU